UCUUACAUUAAUCCCAGUUUUUAUCCUUCUGGCAUUCUCAUCAACUCUUCCACUGAUCUACAUACUUAGCAAUUCUCAGAGGCCAAUUAAGCUAACAAUUCUUAUCUCUGAGGAGUGUUAAAAAACCAGAUCACCAAGAGGAGAACGAAUGCGGUCACAGGGAGGACAUGCAAACUCCUUAUAGUCAGCGUGAGAGUGUGAAAGAAUGCAACAGAGGAAGCAAGAUUCAGCAAGAAAUUAUCAGUGCAGUAGGUAAUUUUUCCCAGCUCAUGAUGGAAGAAGGCAAGAAAAUUCAAGAGAAUAAAAUUUACGGAGAGGCUUCACCAUUGAAGCCAAUGCUUCAGCCUUAUCUUCUGGGGUUUGACUGUCAU